AUGUCAGGCACUCUGGCUCCCGGUAAACAUUUGACUAUGGUGGCUGGUGUCUCUAUAUUCACGUUCCGUACAAUAGAAUCGCCAAUAACUAGAGCACUUUCAUCAGGUUUCUCAGUGGGUGCAUCACUGAGUGGGGAGAACCUGUUUAAUGUUUUGAUCGGAACAGAAGAGCGGUGUUUUGACCCACGACUACGCUGCCUCACCGUCACCCAGUUGCCCUGCUGCAGGGGCUCUGCUGGAACCGGACAAUGUACAGGAGUCCCUGAGCUAGACGCAUCCAAAGCCAUAUCUAGAGCCCUAACAUUCUUACUGUCCUCAAUUAAACUUUGGAUGUGUCUAGCUCAGGGAUUCCUGUACAUUGUCCGGUUCCGGCAACAGAGCCCCUGCAGCAGGGCAACUGGGUGACGGUGAGGCAGCGUAGUUGUGGGUCAAAACACCACUCUUCUGUUCCGAUCAAAACAUUAAACAGGUUCUCCCCACUCAGUGAUGCACCCACUGAGAAACCUGAUGAAAGUGCUCUAGUUAUUGGUGAUUCUAUUGUACAGAACGUGAAUAUAGAGAUACCAGCCACCAUAGUCAAAUGUUUACCGGGAGCCAGAGCGCCUGACAUCUUGGCAAAUUUAAAAGUGCUGGCUAAUGCUAAACGUAAAUACAGUAAGAUUGUUAUUCAUGCCGGCGCUAAUGAUGUUCGACUUCGCCAGUCGGAGAUCACUAAAAAUAACUUUAAAGAGGUGUGUGAACUUGCAAGCACGAUGUCAGACACUGUAAAAUGCUCUGGUCCCCUCCCUGCUUACCGUGGUGACGAGAUGCAUAGCAGAUUGUCAUCACUCAAUGGCUGGAUGUCUAAGUGGUGCCCACAGAAUAACAUAGGUUUCAUAGACAAUUGGACGAGCUUUUGGGGCAGACCUGACCUGUUUAAAAGAGAUGGUCUUCAUCCCUCCUGGGGUGGCGCCACUCUUCUCUCUAGAAAUAUGGCAAAUAGUCUUAGUGUUUAUACUUGACUAACUGGGGCCCAGGUCAGGAAGCAGACAGACUGGCUAAACCGACCGUCUGCUAGCUGCCUCCCGUCACAGAGGUCAGUUAAUUCUCAGCACAUAGAGACUCUUUCACCUAGAUAUCACACUAUAGAGACUGUGUCUGUUCCCCAAACUAGAAAAUACAAAAAACGUCCAAACCAAUUUAAGGCUAACAAUUUAAUUGAGGUUCAACAAAUAAAAAACAAAUGCAAUAUGGAUAAACAAACGAUAAAGCUUGGCUUAUUGAAUAUCAGAUCCAUUUCUACGAAAACACUUUCUGUAAAUAAUAUGAUAACUGAUCAUAAUAUAGAUGUGCUCUGUUUAACAGAAACUUGGCUAAAACCUGAUGAUUACAUUAUUUUAAAUGAGUCCACCCCCCAAGAUUACUGUUAUAAACAUAAGCCGCGUCUAAAAGGCAAAGGGGGAGGAGUUGCUUCAAUUUAUAACAACGUUUUCAGGAUUUCAGGUUUCUCUUCAUUUUAACUUUCUCAAAUAGAGUCAUGUUUCUGUAACCCCACUCCUGACCAGGUCGUAAAACUCUUUGAUCCCACUGGGAAACAGGACAGGAAGAAGCCAAGUCACUGGCAUCUUUUCUCAAUGAAUCCUAAACUAUUACUUUUUCAAUGUCAUCUCAAUGUAUAUAGUAUUGUUUUUCGGUGCAUCAUAUGUUUCCCAUAUAAAUUGGGACUAUCUGCAGUUUUAUCAUGUGUUAAUCAAAUCGUUAAAUGUGUGUAAUUCUGCAUUUGAAUGUAACUUCGUGUUUCUAUCAGUUAUAUAUGUACUGUUUGGUGUUUUUGGAAUUGUCAUGUGUGACCCAACUAUCCACCUGUAUAAAAGGUGUGUAAAAAUUUAUUAAUCUUGAAUUACGAACUUGCUAGAAUAUCAGUGCUGAGAUCUGACAAGCCUAAGUUAUUAGGGUGGGUGUUUCCACAGAGACAAAGGAACUUUUUCCCACUUCAGAUCGCGGACGUUCAUUGGUUGUUCACGCGAACAGAGGCGUGAACCAUCUCAAGCCAUAAAAGCUGACCGAACAAGGUCCGCCCUCUCUUCGUUCUCUUACACGCUGCUCUCCUGCUUCAAUCCUGGUCGCUCCCGCACGUCCCUCUGCGCGGCCUUGGGCCGUGCGCCUAUCACCGUCCCCCUCAGCACAGGGGCUGAGAGGACAGCCAUUCUCAUGGCUCCUUCGGAAGCUUUCGUUUUCGUUGUUUUGUUUUCUUUUUUUUUACUAAGUUUAUUCAACUAUUCGCCUCUCCACACAAGGAAGACGAAUUCUGGAACAUUGUUUGUUGAACCUUUCAAAUACCGCGCGAUUCCGCAGCAGCCCCAUGCCGGAAGACAGAACAAAGACCCCGCUCACGCUGCUCCAGCACACACACGCUGGUUUUAAAAGACCAGCGCACAAAGCGUCACAAAAAGACCACGCUCACGCACGCCGGACCAUGCAAGUAUCUCUCUCUAUGGAGAUUUAAAUGCUGCUUUAAAGUUGGUCUAUGAUUUGAUUCGUGUUGGCUUCUAAGGGUUACUGUCUGUGAUUUUCAUACCUGAGCUCAUUCUGUGAUCUCUCUCUCUACGCAUAUUCACUUUGUGUGAUUUGUAGUUUGAUGUAUUAUUAGUUCAUUUAUUAAAAACCCAUAUAUUCAUGAUUACCUCCAAACCGCUCACAUUACGAGUCAAUGAAGUUUCUGAUUUUUAGCUACAAGCUUUACUUUGAGACUAAAUUUAUCAUAAUGAUGGGAUAAUGUUUUUGUAGAUCGUUUGGUUAAAUGAUUAUG
rnacentral:lncRNA from 1 species